UGGGGAAUUUUGGACAAUGGGCGCAAGCCUGAUCCAGCAAUGCCGCGUGCAGGAUGAAGGCCUUCGGGUUGUAAACUGCUUUUGUACGGAACGAAACGGCUCUGUCUAAUACAUGGGGCUAAUGACGGUACCGUAAGAAUAAGCACCGGCUAACUACGUGCCAGCAGCCGCGGUAAUACGUAGGGUGCAAGCGUUAAUCGGAAUUACUGGGCGUAAAGCGUGCGCAGGCGGUGAUGUAAGACAGGUGUGAAAUCCCCGGGCUUAACCUGGGAAUUGCAUUUGUGACUGCAUCGCUGGAGUGCGGCAGAGGGGGAUGGAAUUCCGCGUGUAGCAGUGAAAUGCUUAGAUAUGUCAUAGAACACCGAUAGCGAAGGCAGCUCACUAGGUCUGGAUUGACGCUCAGGGACGAAAGCGUGGGGAGCAAACA
rnacentral:rRNA from 1 species